GCCUCCGUGGCGCAAUCGGUUAGCGCGUUCGGCUGUUAACCGAACGGUUGGAGGUUCGAUUCCUCCCGGUGGCG
rnacentral:tRNA from 1 species